rnacentral:lncRNA from 1 species
UGGGAGCGAAGAAGCGGGAAAUCACUUGUUGCUUUUGCUUUCCCAUGGCGAUGCUGGAUUUGGCGCGCUUCAGGAUUUUACCAGGACCAAACCAAGUUUCUUCUUUUUCUUCUUCUGUCUUGAAACUCACUUCUCUUUCACUUUUGAAACUCACUGUCACUUCAUUUUCAUUUUCCAGUUUUUAUGACGAUAUUGGUGCAAUCUGUUGUUGUGUUAAUUUCAGAGAUGGACCAAAAAAUAAAGAAUAUUAUUUUUAUAAUAUGUAUGGUUUGCAAAAAAAUCAUGAAUACGAAGUCAAUUUAUUGUUAUCUCACACUCUUUUUAAAUAAUAAUGUAUUUGUGUUAGAUAUAUAUGGUAAAAUGUUAAUUAAAAAAAAUUAUUAGAUUUUUAAUUAUUUUAUGAUUUUAAUAUAAUUUAAAAAUAUAAAUAUAAUAAUUUUCUAAAAAUUUAAAUUUUUAUAUAAAUUUUCACUGUGAUUAUAAAAAUAAGAAAUCAAUUUUCUUAAACUAAUUAUAAAUUAUUUUUCUGUUUUAAAAAAAGUUGAAAUAUAUUUAUAUACAUAAUAUUUAUUUAUUAUUAAUUUGUAUAAUUUAUAAUUAUAUAAUAUAUAUAGGUUUUUUUUUCAUUGUGUUAUAUUUUAUAAAUUAUAUAUAUAUCUGGUAUUUACGAGUGAAUCUGUCCAAGCAAAAAGUCUACUCUCAUCUCAUGUUAAUUGUCCAUGACUUGCAAUUUUUAUAUAAUUAAAUCGUGUUUGCAGAUGAUGAUUUCAUUUGCAUAAAAAAAAAUAUAAUUGAAGUUGUAUUUAACAUAUACAACUUUAUGCUUAAAAGAAACAAAAUUAUUAUUUUUUAAAUAGAAUAGUUAGUUAAAUCAUUAAAAAUUUAAAAAUAUUUAAAAAAUAUUUAACUGUUUUUUAAUUGAAAUAUAAAUUAUAAAAUAAUGUUAAAACCCUAAAUCCUUAAUGGAAAGCGUCACACCUAAACUCUAAAAUGUAAAUCCUUCUUUCGAAGGUAAAAAAACUCUAAAACCUCGAACCGUAAAUCAUAAAUAAUGUAUAUAUAAGUUCUAGAUAUAACCCUAAAAUCUAAACAGUAAACAUAAAAAAGAACACACGUAAACUUCAAUCUUAAAAUUAUUUAAGAAAUCAUGGAAUAAUAUUCUAUAUCUUUUUAAAUAUGUCAUAAAAAUAAUACAAAUUUUUUAUAAUAUUACUAAAUUAUUAUUUAUAAAUAUUUAAGUUAUUUAUUGUUAAUUAAUGUAUAGAAAUUUAUAAGUUUUGUUUUUUAGAGAGGUUAUUUAAUAAUAUAUAUUUUAUUAUUAUUAAGUGAUAAUAUGUGUUAAGGUUGAGCUUAUAUACGUGUAAUUAGUGUUUAUUUUGAUGUUUUCCAUGCGUGUUAGUUUAGAUGUGUAAAAAAAUAAGGGUAAAUAAAAUAAUAUACAAGUAUGACAUUAAGUAAAGAGCGAACAUGACAUGUUAAUUUCAACAAUAAUGUCAUUAUUUUAACUUAAUAAAGAACAAACUAUUUAUGAGAUUCUCAUACAUUGAUCAUUUUCAUUGUCUUUCUAGGUCUUGUUGGAUAGGUGGAUUGGGAGGUAAUGCAGGUGGACUAUCGUUGUCAUUGUUUUUUUUCUUAGUUGUCUUUAGGUGGAAUAUCCACAUGAAGGCAUUGUGGGAUGAUAACAAUGCAUGGAUGGAAC